rnacentral:rRNA from 1 species
GAUGAACGCUGGCGGCGUGCCUAAUACAUGCAAGUCGAGCGAACAGACGAGGAGCUUGCUCCUCUGACGUUAGCGGCGGACGGGUGAGUAACACGUGGAUAACCUACCUAUAAGACUGGGAUAACUUCGGGAAACCGGAGCUAAUACCGGAUAAUAUAUUGAACCGCAUGGUUCAAUAGUGAAAGACGGUUUUGCUGUCACUUAUAGAUGGAUCCGCGCCGCAUUAGCUAGUUGGUAAGGUAACGGCUUACCAAGGCAACGAUGCGUAGCCGACCUGAGAGGGUGAUCGGCCACACUGGAACUGAGACACGGUCCAGACUACUACGGGGGGCAGCAGUAGGGAAUCUUCCGCAAUGGGCGAAAGCCUGACGGAGCAACGCCGCGUGAGUGAUGAAGGUCUUCGGAUCGUAAAACUCUGUUAUUAGGGAAGAACAAAUGUGUAAGUAACUAUGCACGUCUUGACGGUACCUAAUCAGAAAGCCACGGCUAACUACGUG